UACGUAGGGUGCGAGCGUUUGUCCGGAAUUAUUGGGCGUAAAGAGCUCGUAGGCGGUGUGUCACGUCGGCCGUGAAAACCUGCAGCUUAACUGUGGGCGUGCGGUCGAUACGGGCAUCACUGGAGUUCGGCAGGGGAGACUGGAAUUCCUGGUGUAGCGGUGAAAUGCGCAGAUAUCAGGAGGAACACCGGUGGCGAAGGCGGUUCUCUGGGACGGUACUGACGCUGAGACGCGAAAGCGUGGGGAGCGAACAGG
rnacentral:rRNA from 1 species